UAAAGAGCGAUAUAAGGGCGUAUGGUGGAUGACUAGAGAUAAAUGGGCGAAGAAGGACGCGGCGUGACGGCGAUAUGCUUCGGGGAGGUGUCGAGCAACCUUUGAUCCGAAGAUUUCCGAAUGGGGAAACCUAUACAAAAAUUUUAAUUUUGUAUUCCGUUACUUUAAAAAGUAAUGUGAGCGAACCCGGGGAAGUAAAACAUUUCAGUACCCGGAGGAAAAGAAAACAAUGCAAAACUUUUUUCCAAGCGUUUGAAAUUUCAAUGUUUGGAAAAAAGAUUUGUCCAUUCUCUUAGUAGCGGCGAGCGAAAAGGGAAGAGCCCAGAGUUUUUUCUUUUUGGUAAUUUAUUAUUAGAAAGAUUAAGCAGUAGUAAGUUUAGUUCUAAUCUUUAAUGAUGAGGAAAAUUGGAUUAUUAGUAGAACGGCCCUGGAAAGGCCGGCCAAAGAGGGUAAUAGCCCCGUAAGCGAAAAUCAAUCUAUAUUCUUUGGACUUUACUUGAGUACCUCGAAAAAUGUAUAGUUCGGGGGAAUUUGCCGGCACGAGCCGGUAAGGCUAAAUACCAUUUAUCAUCGAUAGUGAACUAGUACCGUGAGGGAAAGUUGAAAAGUAGCCCGGUGAGGGCGAUGAAAUAGUACCUGAAACCAUAUGCCUACAAGGAGUCGAAGCCGGCCGCAGUAAUGUGGCUCGGUAACGGCGUGCCUAUUGAAGAAUGAGCCAACGAGUUAUUGUUUUUUGCUCGUCUAAGGGCGUAAUGCCCGGAGACACAGGGAAACCAAGUGUUAAUAGCGCGCAAUAUAAGCAUAAAACAAUAGACCCGAAGCAAGGUGAGCUUACCAUGGCCAGGGUGAACCCCGGAGAAAUCCGGGGGAAGGCCCGAACCGUUUAGCCGUUCAAAACUAUCGGACGAGCUGUGGUAAGGAGUGAAAAGCUAAUCGAACCUUGUAAUAGCUGGUUCUCUCCGAAAUAGCUUUAGGGCUAGCGGAUUCUGCAAACCGGGAGGUAGAGCUACUAGAAGGUCUGUACAGGGAGCAAUCUCGACCGACCUACUAAACUCCGAAUGCCCGGUGUUAAAAAGAAUCUAGUCAGACUACGGGGGCUAAGCUCCGUCGGUCGAAAGGGAAACAGCCCAGAUCUAAAUCUAAGGUCCCUAAAUCAUAGCUAAGUGCAAAGAAGGUGGUGAAGUUUCAUAAACAGCGAGGAGGUUGGCUUAGAAGCAGCCAUCCUUUAAAGAGUGCGUAACAGCUCACUCGUCAAGAGACUUUGCGCCGCAAAUUAUCGGGGCUAAGCUAAGUACCGAAGAUUAGGAUUUAUAAAUUAUUUAUAAUUUAUGAGUGGUAGGAGAGCGUUCCAAGUGCAGUGAAGCGGAAGGGGUGACCCACCGUGGAGCGCUUGGAAGUGAGAAUGUUGGCACAAGUAACCGCAAUAUCCGUGAAAUUCGGGUACACCGUAAACCCAAGGUUUCCUUGGCAAUGUAAAUCAGCCAAGGGUUAGUCGGCCCUAAGGGGAUGGCGAAAGCCGUACCUGAUGGUUAGCAGAUUAAUAUUUCUGCACUGCGUAUUUUUUUGAUGGCGGGACGGAAUCUAGUACAUCGAUCGUGUUAAUGGAUUCACGUUCAUUCUCUGAAGAUAAGGCGCAUGAAAAUCAGCGCCGAGCUUUUAAUGGCAAUAUCAAAGGAGUGUGAAAAUUUUUCCUUCACGGGAAGAAAAUUCGAUGGAGCAGGUUUCCAAGAAAAGCGUCUAAAAAUAUAAAUACGUAUCCGUACCUAAAACCGACACAGGUGGGUGAGUCGAGUAGACUCAGGUGAACGAGUGAGAGAUCCUCAAGGAACUCGGCAAAAAAGCAUUCGUAAGUUCGCAAUAUGAAUUUCCCGAUGACCAGAGAUUAUAUCAAAUGGAAAUCGGGACGCAGCUAAAGUAUGCUUGGCGACUGUUUAUCAAAAACACAGCUCCCUGCAAACACGUAAGUGGAAGUAUAGGGGGUGACUCCUGACCAAUGCGAGAAGGUUAACGCUGGUGUUUCAAUGUAGCAAUAUGUUGGGGUGACCGGCCGAAGCCCUCGUCAAUGUCGGCCGUAACUAUAACGGUCCUAAGGUAGCGCAAUUCCUUGUCAGGUGAGUUCUGACGCGCACGAAAGGAGCAACGACUGAGCAACUGUCUCGAGGAUUCGCUCGGUGAAAAUGCGAUACCGGUGAAGAUGCCGGUUAGGCACAGAUAGACGAAAAGACCCCAGAAGCUUUACUGCAAGUUGUUAUUGGCUUUACGUUUUUACUACGUAGCGUAGUGGUGAGGAUUUGAAGCGGCGCUCUCGGGUGCCGUGGAUCCGACGAUGAAACAGCCAUUUUUAAAGAUGUAAAAUCUAACCUGUUGAGAUUAAACUCAAUGGGGACAGUAGCUGCCGGGCAGUUUGUGUGGGGCGCAAUCCUCCCAAAAAGUAACGGAGGAGUUUAUUAAGGUCAGCUAGGCGCGGAUGGACAUCGCGCUAGUCGUGUAAUAGCAAAAGCUGGCUUAACUGCAAGACGGGCAUGUCGCGCAGUUGCGAAAGCAGAAUAUAGUGAACCGACCGUAGGCACUCGAUGCCGCGGAAGAUUAACGGAUAAAAGCUACUCUGGGGAUAACAGGCUAGUUCCGUCCAAGAGUCCAUAUCGACGACGGAGUUCGGCACCUUAACAAAUUGGGGUGCAAUGAAAGUAAUUUCAUUCCUUGGGCAUAUUAAAGUUGCCCAAAAUAAAAAUUUGGCUUAUAACGGUGGACUCCAAAAAAUUAAAUGAUAGGAAAUUUAUUUGGACAAUACCGUGGGAAGUCAUCUACUCAAAAUUUUGGAAAAUUAAAAUUGGAAUAAAAAAAUGACUGCACGCUAAGCAGUCAUGAUAGAAUAGAAAUAUGUUAAGACACAUAUUCGUUAAGAAAUCUAUUGAAGAAUGAUUUUGGAGCUCGUUUGGCUACGACAUUUAACUCUUCUAUUCCCCAACUGACAGAUAUGAUUUCAUUAUGACCAGAACAGAAUGCUUUGAAUUUCUUUGCCCAUUUUUCGGCAGCCUUUUUAUAAAAAAAGGGGCCGACUGGAUCAAGCAAAUGAUUAGGUUGAGACCAAUGUGUGUUUAAGGUAAUAGAAAUUGAUACAAAAAAGAUUUUCUUCACUUUUUACUUCUCCUUUCUUCUGAAACGAAUUUAGCAUUGAAAUAUCAACAUGUCAAGUAUUAAAACUUGAUUCCAAAAUUUUGAGUGGAUUGACCCCGUAGAGACUUGUUUCUCCGCCAGCUGGCGGAUGUAACGGAGUCGCGCAGACAUAAUGCGCGGCUAAGACGCCAACCCCCGCAGUCGCGGGGAGAAGAUAUAGUCCGAUCCUUCUAGUAAUAGAAGACAAAUACGACAGCGAUGUCGGCUCAACUUAUCCUGGGGGUGGAGAAGCUCCCAAGGGUUUGGCUGUUCGCCAAUUAAAAAGUUACGUGAGCUGGGUUCAAACCGUCGUGAGACAGGUUGGUCUCCUAUCUACUGUGCCCGUUGAUUUUUGAGGGGAGUUCUCCCUAGUACGAGAGGACCGGGAGGAGUUGACCUCUGGUCUACGAGCUCUGCCGCCAGGUGGAUCGCUCGGUAGCUAUGUCGAUAAGUGAUAAGCGCUGAAAGCAUCUAAGCGCGAAGCACGCCCCAAGAUUAGAAAUCGUUAUCAGACUCGUGGAAGAUGACCACGUUGAUAGGCUCUAGGUGUAAGCAUCGUAAGGUGUUCAGCCGAGGAGUACUAAUGUUCGAAUUGCUUUUUACG
rnacentral:rRNA from 1 species